UAUAUAUCUAAUUCGAAAUACCCUCACUGUAAGACUUACAUUCCUUUGUAGAAAUCUGUUAUACAGUAAGUUGUUACACCAAAUUAAACUUUGCUCGCUGCCAUCCAAAACUCUAAUGGCAUUAUUAUAUGCUCUGCAAAUCCGAGCUGAAAUGCAGUUUGCUGAUUGCCUUCAACCAAGUGGAGGUGUCGACAUCAGGACUUUUGAUUAUAGGCUGCAGGUUGAGUGUAACAACUGCAGAGAUAAUAAUGAAAUAUCUGUAACCUUGGAGGCAUGAGCAGGGGAAAAAAAAUUUAAGGUCAAGGUCGCUCUUUCUAGAAGAUGGACAGCGACCAGUCUGGUGUAUUUGCUCCUCUCAUGCAGUUUAAGUGUAAAGGAGUUGUGCCAAAAGAGUUUAGGUUUAGUGGCAGAUGGCAAUGCAAGAUUGAAUUCUUAGAAGAAGAGCAGCACUUUGAAUUCAUGAAUGGGGGUCAAACGUGGACAUCUCAGUCCGUUAAUAGACGAACCGCCUCUAUUGCUGGAUUGGAUGCAAAAUUUAUGUUGAUUCAGAAUUGAACAUUUAAUGUUCUAAACUUUAUUGAUGUUGGGUUAUAAUGCACUAAUAUUUAGUUUUCUAAACUCUAUCUUUAUUUUUCAGAAUUUGGUUGUAAUGAUUAAUAUUUAGUUUUCUGAACUUUAUCUUUAUUAUUCAGAACUUGAUUGUAAGCAUGUGUU